GGCAAGGUGGCCGAGCGGUUAAGGCGCUAGUUUUAGGUUGUUACGAUCUGAUCACUAGUUUCUCUGAUUCAUGGGUUCGAAUCCCAUCCUUGUCA